UACGAAGGGUGCAAACGUUGCUCGGAAUUAUUGGGCGUAAAGCGCACGUAGGCGGCCUUAUAAGUCGGAUGUGAAAGCCCUCGGCUCAACUGAGGAAGUGCAUCCGAAACUGCAAGGCUCGAGUAUGGAAGAGGGUCGCAGAAUUCCCGGUGUAGAGGUGAAAUUCGUAGAUAUCGGGAGGAAUACCAGUGGCGAAGGCGGCGACCUGGGCCAAUACUGACGCUGAGGUGCGAAAGCGUGGGGAGCAAACAGG
rnacentral:rRNA from 1 species